CCUACGGGUGGCAGCAGUGGGGAAUAUUGGGCAAUGGGCGCAAUCCUGACCCAGCAACGCCGCGUGAAGGAAGAAGGCUUUCGGGUUUUAAACUUCUUUUUACAGGGAAGAGUAACAGACGGUACCUGUCGAAUAAGCCACGGCUAACUACGUGCCAGCAGCCGCCGUCAUACGUAGGUGGCAAGCGUUGUCCGGAUUUACUGGGUGUAAAGGGUGUGUAGGCGGGUCGACAAGUCAGAUGUGAAAUCCUGCGGCUUAACCGCAGAACUGCAGUUGAAACUGUUGAUCUUGAGUACUGGAGAGGUAGACGGAAUUCCUAGUGUAGCGGUGAAAUGCGUAGAUAUUAGGAGGAACACCAGUGGCGAAGGCGGUCUGCUGGACAGCAACUGACGGUGAGGCGCGAAAGCGUGGGGAGCAAACAGGAUUAGAUACCCUUGUAGUC
rnacentral:rRNA from 1 species